CUGAGGGUUUGGCAGCAGGUUUGCCAGCUCUUGACUUCAUCCACAGCGGGGCUGGGCCCUGUGGGAUUGCUGGCUUCUCAUCUGUCCUUGCAGGUGGAGCUAUCUUGUGGGUGGGUGGCAGGGUGCAAACUGCUCCAGAGGGUUUGUGAAGCAGAGGGUUGAAACAGAACUGGGGGCUCUGCAUGCCAAACUGCUCCAGGCUGGCUUUCCAUCAGGAGACAUGGAUAUAGCGAGAGCUGGGCACUAGGAUGUGCAAUGGGCUGUCCUCUCUCUUUUUGGAAGUCCCACUUGAUUCACACCGGGAUCCACAAACAAGAAGCCCGACAGAGUUUCACCACGAUUUGGGCAUUCCUGGGACUGUCUGUGGCAAUAGCAGAUCUGGACAAAGGUGAAGCAUUUGGCUUUUUGGGGUAGGACGUCCGUCGCAUCGCUGGGAUGGGACCUGACUGGUGUUAGCAUCAGGAGGAGAAAGCAGGCAGAAGCAAACCCUUUUCUGCAAAUAUGUGGAAGUUUCCUCAAACUGAAGCUGAAGCCAAACUCUUCCUGGGCGCCCAGAGAAAGGACAAGAAGCAAUGAGAAAAAAUUGAAGCUUGAAACAUGACAAUUAAGCAUAAGAAAACACUUCUUCUCUUUUAGGGUAGUCCAACAUCAUCAGGCUGCCCAGAGAGGGUGUGGAGCCUCCAUGCUCAGAGACAUUGGUGUACUCAACUGGGAUGAAGUCCUGCUGUAGAGAGGGACCUCCAGCCUCAGUCUGUAUCUGCUAAGAGUUGCUUGUAGAAAACAGAAAAACCAAGUUCUUGGAGCCUUGUUUGUUGCUGUGGAAGCAUUUAAAGGGAAAAUAACAUCCGCUUCUCCCGUAGGCUGCAGCACUCUGUACAGCUUUGCUUUCCCAUGGCAGUCGCCAAGCUUCUAGUUGUACCUGGGGGGACGUACAUGGUGGGCAAGGCAAGAACCAGCCCAAGGAGAAGGCUCCUACUCAGCCUCCUUUGGAAGGCCAAAAUCUGGGCACAGAUUUUCAUUGGAGCUCUUGAGGAGUCUUCUUAACCUUGAAGAUGCUUUCCAGGUCUGAUGAGGGGCAAAGAUGACGACAGAAAGUCAGGUGGACGACAGGGAUGGAGAUCCACGGGAAUCAAAUGUAAUGUGCAAGGAGGAACACCAGUAGAGACUGCACAGUGUGAAGGCACCGGGAGGCUGCACGUGCUUUGCCUGCACCUCCUUUUAAACAGGAGGGGUUGGGUGCCUUCCUUCUGCUUGCUUUGCAGUGGGGCUGUGUGAGGAACAGGGAAAUCUCUUCCUACUUCCAAGAGAGAUGCCUUCAAAUACACAGGUGCAGCUGCACAGGGAUGGCUUUGCUGCAGGAAGCAGAGCACAGCAUGUCCUCCCGCUUAGUGCUUGUGGGCGCCGUGCUUUAGCAGGCCAAAGUCACUUGACAUUGCUCCAGUGGGUGUCUGAAGCUAAUGAAUCCAGAUUAGGCAGUGCGGAGGCUGGGGAGCUCGAUUUCUGCUGAAUAUGCAUAAAGACAAAUAUGAAUUCUAAAAUUGUGAGGAAGUAUUUCUACCCUGGCUCAGCGCUAAUGUUGAUAAAAAGAGUCACAAAUUAGUACAGGAAUAGGAAGAAAAAUUGGGCUUUGUCUUUUUUGUUUGUUUGUUUGUUUUUUAACUGCUAAAACCGGGCAUCUGUUUUUUACUAGGAGUUAAUUUCUUACAUGCAAUAGUGAAGCAUGGAGUAAACUAUCAACAUGUGCCCUUCCCUGGCAGAAUAACUCCCACCUCAAUUAAGAAAAUAGGAAGAGGAACUGAAGUUAAAUUUAAAAAAAAAAUAAAAAAAAAUCCUUUGUAUUGAAGAAAAAUGAAGGUGAUUAAAUCAGGAAUUUGGCACUGCAGGGAGAAUGCCAGCAUCAGAUUAACCCUUCUGUCUGGUUUUCCAGCACCUGAGUGCCUGCAGAGGUAAUGAGGAUUCAACUAGCUCUACUCUACAGAUGGGAGAACUGCAGUACAGAAAGCAGCAAUUUCACUGAGCGUUACAGAGCAAAGCAGAAGUCACCCUGCUGAUUCAGAUGGCUUGUGAGCCAAUUCCCAGCUGAAAUACAGCCCACACAGUGCUGCUUGGAGCAGCUCAUGGUUGAAGUGCCAAGGAGGAGCAUCCUCUCUGGGUACUGAUGGAUGCACGACCACAGGCAGGUGAGGGCACUUGCUGAAAGGAGCCUAGUGGCUUUAUGAAUUGAUAUCUGGGCAGUGAAUAAUAGCUGGUACAUGAUAUUAGAUGUUGAAAGCAGCUGACUGAGCAGUGAGAAGAUGAGCCCUUGGGAGAUUUAGCAGCUACAGCCCAGAGCUGCUGGGGCAGAGCUGACUUAAUGUAUGAGACCAGAAGGAAAAUCCUUUCACAGUGCAAUGCUGUUGAAAAAGUGCAUACAAAAAGUGCAUACUAAAGAAAACAAAAAGAAAGAUGUGUUUUUUGUUUUUCAGAGAUUCAUUUUUAAGAAUAAAAUGUUACUUAACUGUCUAGCUUCUGACUGCAAGUACUUUUACUUUAGUCUUCAGAUGCUUGGAAACCCUAUCCCACACCUAAGCUGCAUACCAUCAUAGACUCAUAGAUUCACUGAUGUUGGAAAGGCCAGUAUAAUCAUCUGGUCCAACUGCCAACCUAUCUCUACCGUGCCCGCUCAUGUCCCUCAGUGCCGUAUCUACAUCCAUCUUGAACACCUUCAGGGAUGGCGACUUCACCACUUCUCUGGGCAGACUGCUCCAAUAUCUCACCAUCCUUUGAUAAGAAAUUCUUCCUAAUGUCCAAACGGAAUCUCCUCUGGCAUAACUUGAGGCCAUUCCCUCUCAUCCUAUUGAUGAUUACAUAGGAGAAGAGGCUGAACCCCACCUUACCACAAACCUCCCUUCAGGGAGCUUUAGGCAGCAAUGAGGUCUCCGUUGAGCCUCCUCAGCCGCUCCUCAUAAGGCCUGUGCCAGAGCCCUCAUCAGCUUCUUUGCCCUUCUCUGAACCCGCUCCAGAGCCUCAGUGUCUCUCUUGUAGUGAGGGACCCAAACCUGAACACAGCACUCGAGAUGUGGCCCCACCAGAGCUGAGUACAGAGGGUGAUACCUCCCUGCUCCUGCUGGCUGCACUGUUUAUGAUACAAGCCAGGCUGCCAUUGGCCUUCUCAGCCCCGGAAGGCCUCUCUAAUUUUCCCUCUGGAUGACGUCUUUGUGUUUCUCACAACUUGCCUAAGCCUUCUUCCAAAGGUCACAAACUCUCUUUUUCCUGGAGUCUCAGUAAAAGUUCCCUGUUCAUCCACACUACUCAUCUUCCCUACCAGCUCAUCUUAUGGCACAGGGGCACAGCCUGCUGCUAUGCCUCUAAGACUUCCUUUUUGAGAGGUGUCCAGCCUUCCUGGACCCCUUUGCCCUUCAGGACUGAACACCAAGGGACCCUCCCUGCCAGGGUCCUGAACAAUUCAAAGUCUGCCCUCCAGAAGCCCAAGGCAGCAUUUUUUUUGCUGACCCCUCUCCUGACCUCACCAAGAAUUGGGAACUCUACCAUUUUGUGGUCACUUUGCCCAAGAAAGCUUCCAACCUCCACAUCUCUCAGCAGUCCUUCUCUGUUCCUCCGCUCUAGCAGAGCACCUCCCCUGGUGGGCUCUCUUACCAGCUGCCUCAGAAAGUUAUCUGCCACACACUCUAGAAACCUCCUAGAUUACUUCCUCUCUGCUGCAUUGUAUUUCCAGCAAACAUCAGGUAAGCUGAAGUCCCCCAUGACUACAAGCUGGCCAUCACAUGAUAUCUGUCAACUGAUUCUGGAAGGCUUCAUUUAUCUCUCCAUCCUGGAAGACAGAUGAUAUAAACUUCCCAUCAUGGUUGGGAAGUUUGUAACAGACUCCCAGCAGAAUGUAAGACUUGCUGGCCUUUCCCUUCAUCCUUACCCUAAGGACUCAACAUUACCAUUCCCAGCACUGAGCUCUACAACACAGAAACACUCCCUAACAUAGAGAGCCACGCCACUGCCCCUCCUUCCUUGCCUAUCCAUUCUAAAGAGCUUACAGCCCUCCAUUGCAGCAAUGCAGUCAUGAGAGCAGUCCUACCAUGUUUCACUGAUAGCAUUUAACUCACAGUUUUCUUGGCACACAGUGGCUUCCAGCUCUUUCUGCUUGUUGCCCAUACUGAAUGCAUUGGUGUAGAUGCAAUUCAGCUGGGCUGUCGGUCUCACACCAUCCCUGACAUUCUUGCCCCAGGCUCAAUUUUAAAGUCCCUCUUGAUAGCCUGCCGUCUUCUCCCCAUGACCUCAUUGCUGCAAGCCCAAACUAGCAGAAGUGGGCAGUAAUUAGACGGCCACACCAGACCAGGGAGCUUCUGUGUGAUGUUCCUGACCCAGGCCCCAGAGAGGCAGCAGACUGCCCUGUGGGUAGGAACUUGUCAGUACAUCGAGCCCUCAGUUUCCCUUAGAAGGACUCAGCUAUGACAAUCACGUUUCCUUUGUUCCUGACAGAGACAGUCUUGAGGCAUGGGAGGGGCUGACUCGCCCUAGACAGCCUUCUGCAUGGACUUUCUUCAGCAUCCUCACUUACCUGUCCUUCAAGUCCCAGAACCUCAUAUUUAUUGUGCAAGGGCAGGGAAGGUGAGGUAGGCUGGGAGGGGUUCACCCAAAGCAGGAACCUGCCUCCACUCCUCCCUGCAGCUAGAGCCUUCAGACCCCUCACAGUGCUUUGGGUACUGGACUCUGCAUUACUCGAUUUAGGUUCCCUUUGUCGUCUUUCCCUGCAGGCAUCUUCUGCAGAACCUUCUUCCCUUUCCUCUGACUUUGGCUACUCCCUUGGCACACAUUGUGGCUGUCUUACCACUGGAAGCAGUGCCCGUUGCAGGGCUACAUCAAGCCUGGAAAGAGUCUUAGUUAGGCAUUUAACAAUGCUGUUACCCCCUGUUUUGUCCUAACUCUUGGUGAUGGUCUGUGUUUCUAAAAUGUGACACAAAGACCCAGGUGGAAAGGAGCAUGAGGGGCCUGAGCUAGUGGUCGCAUCAGCAUCACAGGAGAGCGGAGCAAAGGUGGCCUGAACCCAGGAUGUAAGUGUGGGCAUCAAGUAGAAAGGCUGCUGGAGGAGAGAGUCCUACAGCAGGACAAUAACCAGGAAGAUGCACACAUCUGCAUAUUGGAAAACCCUGUCCAAUUUUGAUGGUACAACAUGAAGAAGGAAGCAACCUGCUUUUAUCACAGUGUAUUCUUGUUCUCAAACACUUGGGACUCUUUGGAGCUGAUCUGAAUGCUGCUCAUUUCUGGAUGUGUGCUGAGCUUUGAUCUCAGCAAAGCCGUGUGUGUGAAUACCAGAUAACAUCACCAAAACACCAGAGCCUGCACCGCCAUGCCGGAGCAUCCUUAUCCCAGACAGGUGCUUCUGAUCCACCUCGUUUGUUUUUUGUCUGCGGAAAAGGAAACCAGACGUGGCAUGCACUGUGCAGGAGAUUGAAAGUGAUGCCCACGGUUCUCUGCAGAGCAGAGGGCUCUUCCUCUGCAUUAGUCCCCAGGCAGCAGGUGGCUGCGGGGAGGACGCAGGCGAGGGAAGGGACCUGUCUCGGCAGGAUCGCCACUUUCCACUCUCUUCUUGGCCGCCCUGCAUUUUGGAGCAGCUGACUCAAGAGGGCAGCAAGCCGACGGGCUGCCACCGGCUCCAGCGGCCAGCCCUGCCCCGCGGGACCCACCGACGGCCUCCACGUCCGGGAGGGCUGCGCGUCGGAGGAAUUCGCCGAGAUGACGAAAGCGGGAGGAGCCGGGGGUUCUGUGCUGCCCUCUCCCCACGCCCCUGGGCUCCUAGCUGAGGAGGCAAGGGUUCUUUAAUGCUGCCGGGUGAAAUCUGGUCUCACCUCCGCAGAUGACACCAGCCUGGAGCCUGUCCCGUCCUGAAACUUACGUGGUUGUGUUUGACCACGAAACGGAGGUGAGAUCUCUCCCUCCUGCUGUCACCGUGGUUACAGCUGCCUUCCUCGCGCCUCCAGAGGGGAGCCGAGCAAGUUUCUGGGCACUGAGAACACGAAGGACGUGCAGCACAAAAGGGCUUCAGACCCUGAUGAGCCUUCCUUGCACAGCACUUUGCUGUUCUUCAUACGGAUUGAAGGCGCUUUGUGAAACAAACGGAAAGGUCAGCUAUUUUCACCACGGCUUGCAUAAGAAUCUCAACAUCCUUUGCUGUAAGAGCUGCGCUGGUAACUUCCUACUGCAGCACUGAAUCACAACGGCUUCCCACGGCAACCAGCAGUAAAAAUAAACCGAGCAAGGGGAAGUGGCUGGCUUCAGCCGUUCUGCUGUCUGGGGCACACGCUUGAGUCACGGAACAGCAACGCCAAAGACAUUUAUUUUGCCGAUAGCGAUGAAAUCCGCAAACGGCUCCGAGCGCGGCCCGCCGAACCCACGCAGCCCUUGCAGCGGGACGCUCAGCCCGCUUGAAAAUAACCACGCGCUCGAACGCCGCGUCGACUCUUCGUUUCCAGCAGGGGCUGGGCUUAAAAAUUAGCCUAAAAGGAGACGGGCGCCACGAGCACCGCCCGCUUCGAGGCCCCUUCCCCAAAUGGGCGCGGAGCUCCGCCAGCACCGCUUUUGUUACCGA